AUACGUAGGGGGCGAGCGUUGUCCGGAAUGACUGGGCGUAAAGGGCGUGUAGGCGGCUGUCUAAGUCUGGAGUGAAAGUCCUGCUUUCAAGGUGGGAAUUGCUUUGGAGACUGGAUGGCUUGAGUGCGGAAGAGGUAAGUGGAAUUCCCAGUGUAGCGGUGAAAUGCGUAGAGAUUAGGAAGAACACCGGUGGCGAAGGCGGCUAUCUGGACAGUAACGGACGCUGGGGCGGGAAAGCGUGGGGAGCAGAGAGGAUUAGAUACCCGGGUAGUCCACGCCGUAAACGAUGAAUACUAGGUGUAGGGGGUAUCGACUCCCUCUGUGCCGCAGUUAACACAAUAAGUAUUCCGCCUGGGGAGUACGGCCGCAAGGUUGAAACUCAAAGGAAUUGGCGGGGG
rnacentral:rRNA from 1 species